UACGGGGGGGGCAAGCGUUGUUCGGAAUUAUUGGGCGUAAAGGGUGCGUAGGUGGUUGGGUAAGUCUGAUGUGAAAUCUCCGGGCUCAACCCGGAAAUGGCAUUGGAUACUAUUCGGCUAGAGGUUUGGAGGGGGGACUGGAAUUCUCGGUGUAGCAGUGAAAUGCGUAGAUAUCGAGAGGAACACCAGUGGCGAAGGCGAGUCCCUGGACAACACCUGACACUGAGGCACGAAAGCUAGGGGAGCAAACAGG
rnacentral:rRNA from 1 species